AGCAGCCCCGGGAACCAGGCUGGAAUCGGGGUCCGGACCGACGCUGGAGUCCGACCAGAAGCCGGGGUCCGGACUGGAGUCAGGAUCCUGGCCAGGUUGACGGCCCGGACCAGAGUUGGGGACUGGGCCGGAGUCAUAUUCUGGACCGGGGUCAAGGCUUGGACAGGGGUGAGGUUCCGGACCGGGGUCGAGGCUUGGACCGGGGUCGGGGCUUGGACUGGGGUCAAGGUCCGAACCGGUGUCAGAUUCUGGACUGGGGUCGAGGCCUGGGCCAAGGUCGGGGUCCAGACUGGGGUCGAGGCUUGGACUGGAGUCGGGGUCCGGACUGGGGUCCGAUUCCGGACCUGGAUCGAGCCCUGCAAUGGGGUUGAGGCUGGCACCGGGGUUGGGGUCCUCACUGAAGCUGGGGUGCGGAUCGGGGUCGAAAUCCUUGUGGGAGUCGGAGCCCGGAGAAUUGAGGUCCGGGCCGAGGAGAGAACUGGGGUCCGCGCCUGAUGGUUCAUGGGGCCGCGGGGAGCCGGGAGUGCCCCCUCCCCGGCCCUCCUUCCCGGGGCGGGGAGAGCCUACGGCGCCCCGGCGUUCUGAACG